AUACUCUCUCCUUUAUUUAUUUUUAAUUUUUAAAUUUUUUGUAUUUUCUUACUUAACAAACAAAGAUUAUAAAUUCUCAUGUACAAUAUCUCUUUUUAUUUUUUGACAAGAUGACCACUGCUUGCUAAUGGCAUCAUAAGUGAAUAUACUACUUUGAUCUUAUAAUAAUUUCAUUCUUUCUCGAUGAAAGUUGUGAUUUAUCAUUAAAAAAAAAUACUACUUUUCUCUUAUAAAAAUUUCAAAAGAUGCUAUAAUAAGUUAUAGGCUGACUCCUAAUAAUUUGUCCAUUUAGCUUAAAUAUAUAUCUUUUGAUGUUUUUAUUUCUUUGCCUUCUUUGCCCCUUCAUGUAGUUGGUCAAUUCGCUCCUUGUAGUAGUUGUGGUCUCUUCAACUUAAAUGUUGGGAGUUAUGAGAUCCCUCCCCAUGCCAGAGGGGGGUUCCAAAUAAAUUGCUUUUGAUAUCUCAACUGAGGAUAAUUCUGGUGUAUUUUCAGCAACAGUCUCUUUUAUUUUAGUUAAUGAAAAGUUUCAUAUCCUUCUUUUAAAAAAUUAGCUCAACCGAGGAGGUCCUGGGAAUUGUGGUUCGAGAUGGCUAGGAGAGAGACUCAUUAUUUAAUUCAUAGAUUUUUUGUUGUUUAUGCACAUUGAGGAGGCAAAAAGAGAAAAUAAUUCUUUGAAUUUGGAUAUUCAUGGCUCCCAAGAGCAUUCAACUCCAUCUCAAACAUUUUCCAUCGAGAAUGAGAAAGGUUUUUGGGUAUGCAUCAGGCUAACACAACUAUUCUCCAAUAAUGAAGCCUCAUUUUCCAAUAUGGAAGAGGAAGAAUUAGAAGUGGAAAAAUCAGAUACAAGGUUUUCGCCGGAGUUCUCCAAGUCAAAGGAUUUGAAUUUAGAUAUAAAUGAACGAAUUUUGCUGGCUUUACCUUGUCACUAUUCUCAAAAAAUUGAUUAAUACUUUUUCGGCUGAGCAAUUUGUGGUUCUGACGUAUUAGAAGAAAAUUGUGGCAACAUUGUUGUCUCUUCUUUGCCUCUGGAGCUAGUUUGUUGGAAAUUUCUAAAAGUCUUCAAGAUUGGAGGAUUUUAAAUCAUUCAACUGUUACUCCUCCAGGUUCAUCAACCAAUUUUAUUUGAGUGAUGAAUUUGACCCAGUAGAAUGAGGUUGAAAUAUUGGUGACUGAAAUGCCAACUGCCGAGAUUACAAGACCCAAUAGAAGCCCAUUUUCAAGUCCAGUGGUGAAGAAAAAAGAUAGGGGGUAGAGAUGAAUGCCCUUGAAAAGAACAAGACUUGGGAGCUCUGUGAAAAGAUAGGGGUAGAAAUUUUGUAUGGAUUACUGUAAGGUCAAUCAAGCAACCAUGGGUGACAAGUUCCCAACCCUGUUAUUGAAGAGCGUUUAGAUGAGUUUCAUGGGUCUUAUGUUUUCUUGAAGUUGGACUUAUGCUUGGUCAUCAAAUUAGAAUGAGUGAGGCUGAUAUACAGAAGACAACCCAAAAGAUGAACACCUGGAUGCAAAGGUUUCCAUUAUCUGAUUGUAUACAUAGGCUAGAGGAAGAAAUGAUAAAUAUGAAUCUUAUUCUGCACACACUAUAUCGUUCAAUAAAAGUAGGUGGUCCACAGACAAGACUUCAGCUAUUUAGUGCAUUAUUGAGGACGAAACCUCUAGGUUCCUCUGCAGUUCCUUUUGUAUACAUUAUCAUGCAGAUAUUGGUCUUCUAUUUGGAAGAGUUCAUAGUCCAAGCUUCCCAACUGAUUGAACUCCUCCCAAAAGCAAGAUACUCUCAGUUCUUCAGCUUCCUUCUUACGUACGCUUGGAACAUUGAUAAAACAAAAAUUGACAAUAGUUCUUAAUUGAUUCGAAAACCCCGGAAGGCAUGGAAAAAGUCUCCAUUGAAAUCAUCCAUUCUGGGUAAUUGGAAUCAUAUAUACCACAACGACCUCUAGUGCUUUCUAAUUGCAGAUCUCAUUGUAAUUGCAGAGUUGUAUGCUUCUUGAUGUGUGAGGCAUGCAUAGGAGCCCACCUUGGAGUCUUGGUUGAUUUGUUAACAACCAAGCAUCCGGUCGCUGGGAUCCUCUUGACAAAAAUCGCUGAAUAAGUACCAUGGAGAUGCAAGCACAGCCUGUAAUUGCAAAAGCCCAUCUUUAGCAUAUAUGACCCUGCGACAGUCUUCUACUGCUCUGGGGCAUCACAUUCUCUAUUGCCACUGUGUAGGUUGUCGGAAUUGUCAUAAAAAAGGCUAGAAUUUGAAAGGAAA